rfam:Dipodomys ordii contig_13680, whole genome shotgun sequence.
GGUGGCUCAGUGGUAGAGCACUUGCCUUCCAUGCUUGAGGCCCUGGGUUCGAUUCCUCAGCACCA